rnacentral:rRNA from 1 species
GACGAACGCUGGCGGCGUGCUUAACACAUGCAAGUCGAACGGAAAGGCCUGCUUUCCCUUGUGGAUUGCGGGUACUCGAGUGGCGAACGGGUGAGUAACACGUGAGUGAUCUGCCCCCAGCUUGGGUAUAAGCCUGGGAAACUGGGUCUAAUUCCCGAUAGGACUGCAGGGUGGUGCCUGUGGUGGAAAACGAUUUUCUAGUGGUUGGGGAUGAGCUCGCGGCCUAUCAGCUUGUUGGUGGGGUAAUGGCCUACCAAGGCGGCGACGGGUAGCCGGCCUGAGAGGGUGGACGGCCACAUUGGGACUGAGAUACGGCCCAGACUCCUACGGGAGGCAGCAGUGGGGAAUAUUGCACAAUGGGCGGAAGCCUGAUGCAGCGACGCCGCGUGGGGGAUGACGGCCUUCGGGUUGUAAACUCCUUUCGACCGCGAGGAAGCCACCUGGUUGGAAGGGUGGUGACGGUAGUGGUAGAAGAAGCACCGGCUAACUACGUG